rnacentral:rRNA from 1 species
UGAAGCCUACGGGAGGCAGCAGUGGGGAAUAUUGCACAAUGGGCGCAAGCCUGAUGCAGCAACGCCGCGUGAGCGAAGAAGGUCUUCGGAUCGUAAAGUUCUGUCCUUGAGGAAGAAGGAAGUGACGGUACUCAAGGAGGAAGCCCCGGCUAACUACGUGCCAGCAGCCGCGGUAAUACGUAGGGGGCAAGCGUUAUCCGGAAUUAUUGGGCGUAAAGAGUACGCAGGCGGUUUUGUAAGCGCGGGGUGAAAGGCAGUGGCUUAACCAUUGUAAGCCUUGCGAACUGCAAGACU